rnacentral:misc_RNA from 1 species
AAGUCGUAACAAGGUUUCCGUAGGUGAACCUGCGGAAGGAUCAUUAACACGUAUCCAACGUUAAACAACCCUGUGAACUUUAAGUCCCCUCUUGCAGCCCAUGAGGAACAGCAAUCCCGGUAAAUCAUUGCCAAACAGUUUUGAUUCGGGACCUCUGUCCAAAAGGAGUUGCAAUCGAAGGGUGGAAGCAGUGGCAUGGCUCUAGAGGUCGAUCACCGACCGGCAGACAUGUCACAGGGUCACCACGCCCCUUAAUCACUCCACUUGAAAAUGCCCCGCCUAGUGGUAACGCGCUAGGUAAAAAAAACCGAACAACUGUUAACAAUGGAUAUCUUGGUUCUC